AACUCGGCCAUCUUGAGAAGCCGCGGAGACAAAGCGACCCCACUGUGCGGGCGCUGGCGGUCCGGGCACCCUAGCUGCUCCACGCGACCGGGGAGGGGGCGCCGCGCACCUUUGAGGGUGGAGCGCUCCACCAGGACCGUGUGGACCUGCGGGUCUGACAGGAACUUGCGCAUCUGCUCCAGGGCGCUCUUCUCCUCCAGCGCCGCCUCCAGCGCAGCCGGCGCGUCGCCGCCGUCCUCCAGCAGCAGCGGCACCAGCUUACGCAGGUGCUUCUGCAGCACCGCCACGUCCGCCACAUUCUGCACCGCCGACACCUCCAGGCCGGCCGAGCCGUCCUCGCCGCCGCCCGGCUCCGACAUGGCGGAUCCACGGAAGGGAGAGAGAUAGAAAGAGAGAGAGCGAGAGCCGAGAGGAGCGGCCUCCGGCACGAGAGAGCAGUGAGCGAGGGGAACCGGCGACAGGAGACGCUCUGCCCGCUAACCCGCGGCCGACUGCGGACAGCGGAGCCGGCUCCGCCCUAAAGGCCGCCGCUCCCGCCGGCCCCGCCCCGCCCGCUGGCUGCAGCCACCGGCGCCCGCUCGCGGUCGGCGUCGCGACGUUACGCAUGCGACUGGAGGCGGGGCUAUGUGCGGCGCCGCGUGGCCUUUUGGGACUUGUAGUCGGAGGGCAGGGCGGGACCCAUUACUCUGCGCAAAAGUGGUCCAGGAACCGCGUCUGUCUUCAUUGCCAGGUGGCAGAGAAUAUCACAGAGCCAGCCCCUCAGGCUUCAUAAAUAGUGUUUUAAGGAUGCAUUGACGAGAAUUGACAUUUAGUGAGAGUUCAUCCUCUGCCCGACAUUGCUAUUAAUAACCUGAGUUCUCCCGUUGAAUGAAUGGAGUCUGGAGUCCCAACUGCCCAGUCGUUAUUAGAUACACAUUGGGAAGAUGAGGACGUUUUUUCAGAGGAGAUGAGGGGCAUGCCCACAAUGACUUCGCUAAACUGGAUAGGGAGAGAGUGGAAGGGAGAUGAUUUUAGCUGAGGAACUGGCGUCUGAGGAAGGGAAGGUUAGGUAUGGGUGGAGCAGCAACUGCAGUGCAGUCUAACGGUAGGCUAAAAGAAACCUGGAUAGUAGGAACAUCAAGCUACGAUGGGACCUGGCUUCUGAACACAGUGUCAUUUACCAAGCGAGGGUGAUGUAAGAGAAGGACGCAUGAGUGAAUCCACUGACAACGGUAAGCUCCCCAUACCUGCAGCACCCACCGCUCUGUGGGUUCGGGAAUCUGGAUCGGCAGGAGGCAGGGGCUCAGAUUGCUCCUAAGUUUCCCUGCAUCUGACCCAUCACCCCUCCUCCCAUACACGGAGGACAAGAAGGGCAGAAUCUCUUUGCUUACUUUCUUAGGGUUAGUAACUGGCCUUUGAAAGUUCAGGUCAUAACUUGCCUGUUCAAUUGGGUAGAGGGAACUAAGCCAAAAUGAUCUUUAAAAAUAUAAUAAUGCCGAGUUAGAAAGCUGAGUCCUGAUUGGUGGGAUGAUGGUGGUAUGACUUGAUUCUCCCAAAUCAUCUUUGGAAUACGGGAAGCCCUACAAUAUGCUUAUUCCUUGCACAAUUGUCCUGUGCCAGGUCCCAGAGGCUGCUGAUGGAGGCCCGAAGAUUCUUCUAGAAGCCAGACAGAGAGAGAGACAGAGAGACAGAGAGAGAGAAAACAGAUAAAUAUCCCCAUUCUCCCUCCAUCAGCCCACCCUGGUGUAAUGUGUCAUAAAUAAUCUUGCAGAGGUGAGAGGACAGACCCAAAGCUACUGUGGUGAAUUGCUACUGUGGAAUUGCUGGCGUACUGGCAGUGAUCAAUACUGAAUGUCCACCUGACACUAGGUGCUGUGUUAGUGUUUCCCUCUGCCUAUCCUGCAGAGAUAGGAACAAGGACAAAAGACCGGAGAUUCUGAAACCUGCAGGGACUUAGUGGGUGUGGGGCUGAUUGCACACUGGCUGCACUGUGAGUCAGCACCUGGGAAAUGCAGUCAUUCAGUUAUCCGAGGACUCACUCAUCUGCAACCUGGCUCCACGCCAGGGGACAGAUAGCAGGCUCAGACUUUGGAUUAUUAUCAUUCCAAAGAAGACAGAAAUGAUUUGUUUACAAGGAUUUACAAGUGGAUCAAACCUGUGUGCUUUUUCAAUAAACAUUCUGUUUUUGUUUUUUAAUAUAGU
rnacentral:lncRNA from 1 species